rnacentral:rRNA from 1 species
UACCUACGGGGGGCAGCAGUGGGGAAUAUUGCACAAUGGGGGAAACCCUGAUGCAGCAACGCCGCGUGAGUGAUGACGGCCUUCGGGUUGUAAAGCUCUGUCUUCAGGGACGAUAAUGACGGUACCUGAGGAGGAAGCCACGGCUAACUACGUGCCAGCAGCCGCGGUAAUACGUAGGUGGCGAGCGUUGUCCGGAUUUACUGGGUGUAAAGGGUGCGUAGGCGGCCCUGCAAGUCAGAAGUGAAAUCCAUGGGCUUAACCCGUGAACUGCUUUUGAAACUGCAGGACUUGAGUGGAGUAGAGGG